GGAGGCGGAGUCAGGUGGAAAAGGAAGUGUGGGCACAGGGAAACAGGAAGCAGGAAGCAGGAAGCAGGAAGCAUUAAGGAGCAUCAAGGAAUGAAACAAGGGGGAUAAAUGAGAAAAGCUGGCAGAGUACUCCAGGAAAAAGACAUCCCCGCCCCCACAGCCGCCCUCUGACACCAUGUACGACAGGAAGAUUUGACUGGUGAGGCUCAGAACGAGCAGGUGGAGGGGAGGCAUGAAGGGAGGGUGGGAUGAACCAAACAGAGUGAUACAGCAAAGGAAGAGGAGGUGAGGUAGGAGUCGGAGGAAGAAAGCUGGAACUGAUUCCAAAAUUUGUGUAAAUGUAAAUGGGAUAUAAUAAAGAGACUGUUUGGCAUUCAUGGGAGUGGGUGGCAAAGCAGCACAAGGAAAUUACAGCUAGAAUGGUGAUGCUAAUGCUCCCCCUCCUUUUCCCUCUCUCUUCUUACUUGCUCUCUUGUCACCUUUUUAAAAAUAUUUUCCAAGUGAUUUAUACAAAGAACUUGAUAUAUGUAUCAUCAUGUUUACUGAAAUACAGUAAUGGUCUUGUUUCAGUUUACUCACGAUGUACUAACUCAGUAUUAAACCCUCAGCCUUUUCUGUUGAACAAAACUCUGGUAUACUCGCAGGAAUUGAAGAAAGACACACAAGCUUCCUCCAACACCUCCUCUCCUCGGCCCCAAAUGGUUUCACUCCUCCAUGCAGUUUUCUAUGACAGGUGACAGGUCUUCUGGGCCAGCGAACUUGACAGACAUGAACACAUCACUGUCUCCAUGUGACUACUCUGACAGGCUGCCAGGGCCAAGCCACGGCAGACGUAAGUAACACGUUACAGCCUGAGCGCUAACACACUCUGACAUAUGCUCCCUGACAUAUGGGCUUCCCACUCUUUCUGCGAUGUACCACUGAAGAUUUGUGAUGAAUGUUCCUUCUUUUAAUCCAGGGUUUUUGAUGGAUUUUUUUUCCUUCGGUCUUGGAAACGACAUCUUAAAUGUAUUUGAAACACCACUUACUGAGAUGACAAAUUAAGUAUUCGCAGCAGAAAGAUCUCUCAAGUCAUUGGGUUCUGUUAAUCAAGUUUCAAUUUAGAGAAGGAAAAAGCCCAUGUGCUUUAUCGUUAGCAAACCCAAUCAACAGGCUUAAUGGGAGCUAAUAGGCUUCUGUCAUCAUGUGAAUGCAGAAUAUAAGGGCAUUAAAAACUUAACUUAAACCUCCACUUCUUCCUUGUCUCAUUCAGCAAAGGCAUCAUCAAUCUGUGGUGUUUAAAACCUGCUGGAGUAAUAUGCUGUUGUGGUUCUGCUGCUGUUAUGUAUAUUAUAGUCAUUUUAUUCCCCCUGCCCAUUCAUCCUUAGGACCAACAUUACAAGGAUAAAUUUCGACCAUGAGCUUGCAUGUAAAUCACAGGCCUUCCAUCUUCUUUAUAUGACUAUGCCAUUUAUAGCAUGUGUCCAUAAUGAUAACCCAUCAAUCACUUAACAAGUUCCCAGCACUUAUUGCAUAGACCCUAAAAGAAAUCAUCUCUAAUAUGAAACAUAAAACAAAUUGUAUAUCAUAAUACUCUCCCAAAGGUAAUGUGUGAUUUUUUUAAACAUAAGGAAUAAUGUAAUUUGAUAAACAGAGUUUUGUGGUUUGUUAAAAACAGACACCAUGGAUACACAGUGUAUGCUACCGCCAAGCUUUUACACACCAGUAAUUCAU